AGAGUUUGAGUCCUGGCGUCAGGAUGAACGCUAGCGGCAGGCCUAAUACAUGCAAGUCGGACGGUAAAUGGCCCCUUCGGGGGCGAUGAGAGUGGCGGACGGGUGCGCAACGCGUAUGCAACCACCCCCGACGGGCGCGACAGCCGGUGGAAACGCCGGGUAAUGCGCCAUGCGCCCGAGUGGGGCAUCCCCAUUUGGGCAAAGCGGAGACGCGGUCGGGACGGGCAUGCGUCCCAUUAGCUAGUAGGCGGGGCGACGGCCCACCUAGGCUACGAUGGUAGGGGAUCUGAGAGGACGGUCCCCCACACUGGUACUGAGACACGGACCAGACUCCUGCGGGAGGCAGCAGUAAGGGAUAUUGGGCAAUGGGGGAACCCUGACCCAGCCAUGCCGCGUGAGGGAAGUAGGCCCUACGGGUCGUGAACCUCUUUUGUCCAGGGACAAGGACGGCGUCGAGAACGCCGUUUGAGGGUACUGGAAGAAUAAGCGUCGGCUAACUCCGUGCC
rnacentral:rRNA from 1 species